rnacentral:sRNA from 1 species
CUUUUGUUUCUUCUUCUUCUUCUCCUCUGCU